rnacentral:misc_RNA from 1 species
UUUCCGUAGGUGAACCUGCGGAAGGAUCAUUGCCGAGCGUGCGCGCGCCGUGUGGCCUCACCGCCGUCACGACGCGUCGCAUUUCUCCAAACCCAUGUGAACUCUGUAUUCGUGACUCGUGCGCGCGCGCGGUCUUCCGCACGCACACACUUUUUACAAACGACGUUGACUGUGCUUCUCUGACUGAGACAACUGUCCACGUUCGCUAACGCGGCGUGCUGACAUAAAAAACCAACAUAUCACAACUUUUAACAACGGAUAUCUUGGCUCGC